UGCUCUUCCCGCGCUGUCCCGCCGCUCCUGACCCCUUCAGACUGUCCCGAGAAGUCUAGGAAGGCACCGGAGACCCUCGGCACAAGGCACUGAACCUGGAGCGCCUGAGGGGAACUGACGCUUGCUUGGCACCUUUGGGAAGACUGCGAACCAGCUCAGGUCCCAGGGGAGCGUGUCCGUGUCUUUUUCGGCCGCAUUGAUGCACCCGCCCAAGUCAUUUCCUCAGUCUUCUGCUUCCUAGAAGCAAAACAAGGAAUAACAUUAUGAUACCUUUAAAAAGCUGAGGCGUGAAACUGCUCCUGCAACUUGGAAGCGCAGGGCACUUGAACUUUAUUCCCUAAAUGCUCGAAAAAGAAAUCUUUCUGGUGGCAGCUUGCUACUCAAGAUGAGUGACUCUGACCACAACCGGCUGAAAUUAACUUGAGGCCCUAGAUCAUUUGCUAUGACACUAAUUCCACGUUGUUCCUCAAUUAUGUCUCCAUUACCUCAAAGGCUGAAGUCGUCCUGGCUGCACGGAGCAGCCCAGUCUUGUCUCUGUAAAUACCGCAGAUUUGAAAAAUAGUCCUAUUGGAACCCGUCAGAGGGAUGUAAUACAAGGGACUGUGAUGGCUCUUGAACGGAGCCAGAGACUCUUCCUGAAGGACUGGACUACCUCCCCGCCUAGGAAGGUUGGGUAACCCAAAGUUGCCACAUUUCUGGGCUGCACACCAAGGAGAGGCCCCGGCCACUCCACACAGGAAAUGCACGUCUGGGCACCUGGAGCCGCAGGACCUGAGCCACUAACUGUCCCUGGAUCCCUUCUGCUUCAGAGGCAAGGAAGACUGCCGGAGUCAUUGCUUGCCUGCUGGCUUCACCAGCGCUUUCUGUUUUUCCAGUUCUCCUCACCACUCUUCCUGGCGCCUUUCUCUGCCUCCCGCACCCCUGCCUCCUCUAAAACCCACAGCAUCAUCCCUCAGAACAGCUGGAAGCGGACAGCUGAUCCUUCUCCUUGCUGGUCCCCCAGCCCAGAACACAGCCUGGGACAUACGUGCGGAGCCACAGUGUCUGUUGGUCUCACCUGAGAGCUGCUUGUCACUCCCACACCCUCUUUCAAGGAGAAGCUGUCAGCAUUGUCCUUCUGCAGCAUUCAACAGGGGCCAGGCAUUGGGUUAGGGCUGAAAACACUGAUGGAGAGCCAUCAUCUUUGCCUUCUAAAGGGCUUGGACUGUGAUAAGAAGGUGGACACUUGAAGUGGCUGCAGGACCGGCAUUCCAGUGCUGGAGGGGUGUUUAGUCCUCCAUCAGCUCAGAGAAGUAAAGGCACAUUUAUUGGCAGGGAAAACCCAAGGAGGGCUUCUCAGGAGAGACACACAUUUGACUCUGGGGGAAAGUGGUCCAUAGUACCAUGUACAAAGGUUUAAUUUGCUAAUACAUUUUUUCAAAUGCCAUUUUGAUAUUUUUAACUCAUAAAGAGACAACACUUUCCAAACCUGCUGCCAGCAAUGAAUCUACAUUGUGUCUGUAAAGCCAGAACAGGUAUUUGAUGGACAGCUGAAACAAUCUUUAUAAUCUAAGAUGCUAAUCAAUGAUAUUAACAUGUUGCUCAAUUAUUUAAGGUUAGUAGAGUCACAGUCGAAUCUAAGAUUUAUAUUAAAAC
rnacentral:lncRNA from 10 species